GUGACUGUAGCUCAGUUGGUUUAGAGCGCUCCCCUGUGGAGGGAGAGGCCGCGGGUUCAAGUCCCGUCAGU
rnacentral:tRNA from 1 species